rnacentral:piRNA from 1 species
UGGUCUGUGCUUGGCCUCUACCCAAAGGC